rnacentral:lncRNA from 1 species
UAUUGUCAUCUUUAUAUCCAUGAGUACCCAAUGUUUAGCUGCCUCUUAUAAGUGAGAACAUAAGUUCUUUAGUUUUCUGUUCCUGCACUAAUUUGCUUAGAAUAAUGGCCUCCAGUUACAUCCAUGUUACUACAAACAACAUGAUCUCAUUAUUUUUUAUGGCUGCACAGUAUUCCAUGGUGUAUGAACACUAGAAAAUAAGUAAAUUAUAUAUAUUUGGUGUUGAUAUGUUAAUUUGCCAAGAACAAUCCAAGAGACUCUAAAACAAAACUAAGAGAACUAAUAAGAAUUAAAAAGAGAAUUUUGUAAUGUGGAUGGUGUAUCUAUUAAUGUUCAAUUAGCAGAAAAUAUACACUACAGUCUUGAAUAGAAGUGGUGAAAGCAGGCAUCCUUGCCUUGUUCUCCAUCUAAGAGGGAAAGCACUCAGUGUUUUUUCCUUUAAAUAUAAUGGUAGAUGUCAAUUUUUAAAAUAUAUGUGUCCCUUUACAAGUUAAGUGUGUUCUCAUUUAUUCUUAGUUUCAUGAGUUCUUUUCUUUUUAAUUAU